UACGUAGGGAGCAAGCGUUGUCCGGAAUCAUUGGGCGUAAAGCGCGCGUAGGCGGCCCUGUAAGUCCGUUGUGAAAGUCAAAGGCUCAACCUUUGAAAGCCGAUGGAUACUGCAGGGCUAGAGUCCGGAAGAGGCGAGUGGAAUUCCUGGUGUAGCGGUGAAAUGCGCAGAUAUCAAGGAGGAACACCGGUGGCGAAGGCGGGUCUCUGGGCCGAUACUGACGCUGAGGAGCGAAAGCGUGGGGAGCGAACAGG
rnacentral:rRNA from 1 species